UCACUAGAAUGAAAAUAAAUGUAUACAAAAGUGAAUAAACCCAUAAUAGCAAGAUAAUAGGAGUAAGGGCCAACAGUGAACUAAGGCUAUUAAUACAAUUCUGGCAGACAAAAAGCAGAUGUGUGUGGUGACAAGGGAGACAAAGCAGAAAUAACUACAAGCCAGAAUAACAGAGACUCUGUUUAAAAAGCCAUAUCUGGGGCAAUUUUCUGGGGGCUCCAGGAAGAGGCGCCGCAUAGCGUCAGCAAGGACUCAAAAGGAGCACUUCCCAGUGAAGCAAAAGAGUGGCGUAAUAAUUGGAGAACCCUCACGACGUGUCAGCCCCACCACGGCCCCAUAAAUGUAGCAUGAGUGCGAGCUUGAAAUUUGUAACAUGAGAUGAAAACUGGAGAAGCAUCCCUAAAAUAUAUGAACCAAUCUGCCUAGAAAUAGCUAGGAAUCUGAAGACACUUCGCACUGUUAUGCACCAGGAGGAUUGACUGUCUCUGUGGCUUGGAGGCAGUUAUACGUAGCAGCAGCAGCAGCAGCAGCAGCAAAAGUUAACAGGAGCCGGAGUCUGUCUUCAAAGAGCAGUCAGUAGAGAUGAAGAGUAGAUUACUGAUUCCAUAGUACAUGUCAGAUACUGCCUAGGGACUUCCUAAGUAGAGGUCAAGGUCCCACUGUUAUACAGUGUAUAAAUUCACAGAAGUCAGAAGCUGAAUGCAGUCACAAAGAGAGCAAAGCACUUUGUAAAGUGAACUCAAUACCCCCGUUGGGGCUCAGAAAACAGUACCCCAAAGUGAAGUCCUCAGAAGCAGCCCCAAAAGUAAAGUCUCUGACCUUCUCCUACCCUCCCAUCCUCUCUCCCUUCCUUCUCCACUGAGGCAAGAUAGAAACUAAAAUUCCUCUUCCCCAAGGAACCCCGCCUUUUUGUGUAACAGUUGGCCAUAAAGAAAUUAAGACCUUCAUUCCAGAGAGUCCUAUUGCAUGCCUGAGAGGGAGGAAGGCUGCACAGAGACGCCAAGAAGCUGGACAGUCCUUGCUGGGUUUCCCCACUCAGUCUUUAAGCAUUCGAUCAUACCCCUUCUGUCCAGUUGUAUUUUACAUGGCUGUCCAUACAUCAUUGAAUGUCAGUGUAAAAAUGGAUUGUUUUCCCUGUAUCUUUGGGUCUUUAUUCUGAAGUCUCUUUUAAAACUAUGAUCAA
rnacentral:lncRNA from 1 species